AUGAACGCUGGCGGCGUGCCUAAUACAUGCAAGUCGAGCGAACAGACGAGGAGCUUGCUCCUCUGACGUUAGCGGCGGACGGGUGAGUAACACGUGGAUAACCUACCUAUAAGACUGGGAUAACUUCGGGAAACCGGAGCUAAUACCGGAUAAUAUAUUGAACCGCAUGGUUCAAUAGUGAAAGACGGUUUUGCUGUCACUUAUAGAUGGAUCCGCGCCGCAUUAGCUAGUUGGUAAGGUAACGGCUUACCAAGGCGACGAUGCGUAGCCGACCUGAGAGGGUGAUCGGCCACACUGGAACUGAGACACGGUCCGGACUCCUACGGGAGGCAGCAGUAGGGAAUCUUCCGCAAUGGGCGAAAGCUUGACGGAGCAACGCCGCGUGAGUGAUGAAGGUCUUCGGAUCGUAAAACUCUGUUAUUAGGGAAGAACAAAUGUGUAAGUAACUAUGCACGUCUUGACGGUACCUAAUCAGAAAGCCACGGCUAACUACGUG
rnacentral:rRNA from 1 species